UACGUAGGGUGCGAGCGUUGUCCGGAAUUAUUGGGCGUAAAGAGCGUGUAGGCGGCCAGGUAGGUCCGGUGUGAAAACUCGAGGCUUAACCUCGAGAUGUCAUCGGAAACCAUCUGGCUAGAGUCCGGAAGAGGAAAGUGGAAUUCCUGGUGUAGCGGUGAAAUGCGCAGAUAUCAGGAAGAACACCAAUGGCGAAAGCAGCUUUCUGGGACGGUACUGACGCUGAGACGCGAAGGCGUGGGGAGCGAACAGG
rnacentral:rRNA from 1 species